rnacentral:misc_RNA from 1 species
GUAGGUGAACCUGCGGAAGGAUCAUUAACACGUAUCCACGUUAAACCCCCCGUGCACGUUGAGGAGGACAGACGUCAGGCAUUAUCAGUUUAUACGCACCCUAUGCCUUGAUUCGGAAACGAGUCAAGGCGACGUGCAGUGGCUGGUGCGCUGAUUCGUUUCUGUUCCGGUUUUAGCGAGGCCUAGCUCAGCGAAAGCUGGGUUAUAGGAAUUAGCGGACCGGUUCUGAGAAACUCGAAGGGCUUCCAGG